rnacentral:rRNA from 1 species
GACGAACGCUGGCGGCAGGCUUAACACAUGCAAGUCGAACGAGAUCUUCGGAUCUAGUGGCAGACGGGUGAGGAACACGUGGGAACAUCCCUUUCAGUUCGGAAUAACGUUGGGAAACUAACGCUAAUACCGGAUACGUCCUUCGGGAGAAAGAUUUAUCGCUGAAAGAUUGGCCCGCGUCUGAUUAGCUAGUUGGUGAGGUAAUGGCUCACCAAGGCUACGAUCAGUAGCUGAUCUGAGAGGAUGAUCAGCCACAUUGGGACUGAGACACGGCCCAAACUCCUACGGGAGGCAGCAGUGGGGAAUAUUGGACAAUGGGCGCAAGCCUGAUCCAGCCAUGCCGCGUGAGUGAUGACGGCCUUCGGGUUGUAAAGCUCUCUUGUCCGGGAAGAUAAUGACUGUACCGGAAGAAUAAGCCCCGGCAAACUUCGUGCCAGCCGCCGCGGUAA